rnacentral:rRNA from 1 species
UACGUAGGGUGCGAGCGUUAAUCGGAAUUACUGGGCGUAAAGGGUGCGCAGGCGGCUCCGCGUGUCAGGCGUGAAAUCCCCGGGCUUAACUUGGGAAUGGCGCUUGAAACUACGGGGCUGGAGUGUGGCAGAGGGAGGUGGAAUUCCACGUGUAGCGGUGAAAUGCGUAGAGAUGUGGAGGAACACCGAUGGCGAAGGCAGCCUCCUGGGCCAACACUGACGCUCAUGCACGAAAGCGUGGGGAGCAAACAGG